AGAGUUUGAUCCUGGCUCAGGAUGAACGCUAGCUACAGGCUUAACACAUGCAAGUCGAGGGGAAACGACAUCGAAAGCUUGCUUUUGAUGGGCGUCGACCGGCGCACGGGUGAGUAACGCGUAUCCAACCUGCCCACCACUUGGGGAUAACCUUGCGAAAGUAAGACUAAUACCCAAUGAUAUCUCUAGAAGACAUCUGAAAGAGAUUAAAGAUUUAUCGGUGAUGGAUGGGGAUGCGUCUGAUUAGCUUGUUGGCGGGGUAACGGCCCACCAAGGCGACGAUCAGUAGGGGUUCUGAGAGGAAGGUCCCCCACAUUGGAACUGAGACACGGUCCAAACUCCUACGGGAGGCAGCAGUGAGGAAUAUUGGUCAAUGGACGAGAGUCUGAACCAGCCAAGUAGCGUGCAGGAUGACGGCCCUAUGGGUUGUAAACUGCUUUUAUAAGGGAAUAAAGUGAGUCUCGUGAGACUUUUUGCAUGUACCUUAUGAAUAAGGACCGGCUAAUUCCGUGCCAGCAGCCGCGGUAAUACGGAAGGUCCGGGCGUUAUCCGGAUUUAUUGGGUUUAAAGGGAGCGUAGGCCGGAGAUUAAGCGUGUUGUGAAAUGUAGACGCUCAACGUCUGCACUGCAGCGCGAACUGGUUUCCUUGAGUACGCACAAAGUGGGCGGAAUUCGUGGUGUAGCGGUGAAAUGCUUAGAUAUCACGAAGAACUCCGAUUGCGAAGGCAGCUCACUGGAGCGCAACUGACGCUGAAGCUCGAAAGUGCGGGUAUCGAACAGGAUUAGAUACCCUGGUAGUCCGCACGGUAAACGAUGGAUGCCCGCUGUUGGUCUGAAUAGGUCAGCGGCCAAGCGAAAGCAUUAAGCAUCCAACCUGGGGAGUACGCCGGCAACGGUGAAACUCAAAGGAAUUGACGGGGGCCCCACAAGCGGAGGAACAUGUGGUUUAAUCGAUGAUCCCGAGGAACUUACCCGGGUUGAAUUGAAAAGAAGGAUUUGGAGAAAUGACCCCUCCGGGCCUCUUGAAGGGCGCCCUGUGUUCCCACCUCCGCCCGGAGGUGCGCGUUAAUUGCUUACAAAGCGACCCCUCUCUUAUUUCCUCCAGGAAAACUGCGACUUGGGACUGCACCCCAAGGUGGAGAAAAGGGGGGAGAGGCAAAUAACACGGCCUUAUUCCGGGUUACCCUGUUAAAUGGAGGGCAGAAGAAGCCCUUCAAAAUGGAUCAAAUCCUUAAAGCCUGUCUCAGUUCGGACUGGGGUCUGCAACCCGACCCCACGAAGCUGGAUUCGCUAGUAAUCGCGCAUCAGCCAUGGCGCGGUGAAUACGUUCCCGGGCCUUGUACACACCGCCCGUC
rnacentral:rRNA from 1 species